GUGAGGAAUUUUCCGCAAUGGGCGAAAGCCUGACGGAGCAAUGCCGCGUGAAGGAUGAAGGCCUAUGGGUUGUAAACUUCUUUUCUUAGAGAAGAAUAUUGACGGUAUCUGAGGAAUAAGCAUCGGCUAACUCUGUGCCAGCAGCCGCGGUAAGACAGAGGAUGCAAGCGUUAUCCGGAAUGCUUGGGCGUAAAGCGUCUGUAGGUGGCUUCAAAAGUCUCCUGUCCAAGAUCAGGGCUUAACCCUGGGCCGGCAGGAGAAACUCUGAGGCUAGAGUUUGGUAGGGGAAGAGGGAAUUCCCGGUGGAGCGGUGAGAUGCGUAGAGAUCGGGAGGAACACCAAAGGCGAAAGCACUCUGCUGGGCCACAACUGACACUGAGAGACGAAAGCGAGGGGAGCAAAAGGGAUUAGAAACCCCAGUAGUCC
rnacentral:rRNA from 1 species